GUUAUCAUCAUUAAACCUCGCAGCGCAUCUCCUCUGCCGAGUUAGUAAUGUCGUUAAAAAAAUUUUAAUUAAAAAGGUUUUUUCGUUCAGGGUUCGUCAUCUCUCAUACCGGUCUAUUACAGCAGUAGCCAACCCUCGAGUACUACUGCGUACAAGAGUGUCCCACGUCUUACGAUGAUAAGCGAUCUGACUUGCCCCAACGAAUUUAUCUAAGAGCGAUAUGGGGAACAACAAUGGAGGACAAUGUGGCGGAAGUGGGAAUCGAACCCGGGACAUUUGGAUACAACGCUAGAUGCUAUAACCACUAUACCAUGGUCGCAUAUCCUGAUCGAACUAUUACCGGAAGUAGAU